GAACAGCCACACUGGAACUGAGACACGGUCCAGACUCCUACGGGAGGCAGCAGUGGGGAAUCUUGCGCAAUGGGCGAAAAGCCUGACGCAGCGACGCCGCGUGAGCGAUGAAGGCCCUCGGGUUGUAAAGCUCUGUGGGGAGAGACGAAUAAGGUGAAGUUAACACCCUCACUGAUGACGGUAUCUCUUUAGCAAGCACCGGCUAACUCUGUGCCAGCAGCCGCGGUAAGACAGAGGGUGCAAACGUUGUUCGGAAUUACUGGGCGUAAAGCGCGUGUAGGUGGUCUCGCAAGUCGGAUGUGAAAUCCCAGGGCUCAACCCUGGAAGAGCACCCGAAACUGCAAGACUGGAGUCCUGGAGAGGAAGGUGGAAUGCUUGGUGUAGAGGUGAAAUUCGUAGAUAUCAAGCGGAACACCAGUGGCGAAGGCGCCGUUCUGGACAGUGACUGACACUGAGACG
rnacentral:rRNA from 1 species